rnacentral:misc_RNA from 1 species
UUAAGUUCAGCGGGUAUCCCUACCUGAUCCGAGGUCAACCUUAAGAAAAUUGGGGUUAUGGCAAGUAGACCACUGGGACCCUAUAGCGAGAAGAAUUACUACGCUUAGAGCCCAACGGCACCGCCACUGGUUUUAGGGGACGCGGGAAUCGCGAACCCCAAGACCACGCACAGGGCGUGAUUGGUUAUAAUGACGCUCGA